AUUGAACGCUGGCGGCAGGCUUAACACAUGCAAGUCGAGCGAGCGGCGGACGGGUGAGUAAUGUCUGGGAAACUGCCUGAUGGAGGGGGAUAACUCCUGGAAACGGUAGCUAAUACCGCAUACCAUCAGAUGUGCCCAGAUGGGAUUAGCUAGUAGGUGGGGUAAUGGCUCACCUGGGCGACGAUCCCUAGCUGGGCUGAGAGGAUGACCAGCCACACUGGAACUGAGACACGGUCCAGACUCCUACGGAGUGCAGCAGUGGGGAAUAUUGCACAAUGGGCGCAAGCCUGAUGAAGCCAUGCCGCGUGUAUGAAGAAGGCCGUCGGGUUGUAAAGUACUGUCAGCGAGGAGGCGUUACUCGCAGAAGAAGCACCGGCUAACUCCGUGCCAGCAGCCGCGGUAAUAC
rnacentral:rRNA from 1 species